CGGGGUGCAGCAGGCGCGAAAACUUUGCAAUGCGGGAAACCGUGACAAGGGAACUCUGAGUGCCCGUUAAAUCGGGCUGUCCAUCGGUUUAAAUAACCGGUGAAGAAAGGGCCGGGCAAGACCGGUGCCAGCCGCCGCGGUAAUACCGGCGGCUCGAGUGGUGGCCACUAUUACUGGGCUUAAAGCGUUCGUAGCUGGUUUGUUAAGUCUCUGGGGAAAUCUUCCGGCUUAACCGGAAGGCGUCUCAGGGAUACUGGCAGACUAGGGACCGGGAGAGGUGAGAGGUACUCCAGGGGUAGGAGUGAAAUCCUGUAAUCCUUGGGGGACCACCUGUGGCGAAGGCGUCUCACCAGAACGGCUCCGACAGUGAGGGACGAAAGCUGGGGGAGCAAACCGGAUUAGAUACCCGGGUAGUCCCAGCUGUAAACGAUGCGCGUUAGGUGUAUCAGUGACCACGAGUCACUGAGGUGCCGAAGAGAAAUCGUGAAACGUGCCGCCUGGGAAGUACGGUCGCAAGGCUGAAACUUAAAGGAAUUGGCGGGGGAGCAC
rnacentral:rRNA from 1 species